rnacentral:lncRNA from 1 species
GAAAAGUCCACAGUACAAUCCACUGGGUCCCUUGAGGAGGAGAGGACAGAAAAGUCAGUCAUUAG